rnacentral:lncRNA from 1 species
AGCUGGCCAUCCGCACCGAAUUCCAAGCCCGGGCACAGAGGCCUAGCAGCCCCGCCUUGUGCAUGGAUCAGACCAGCAAAAUUCCUUCUCCAAGAAAGUCUGGGUCUAUGUGUGUGACAGCCCACAGGAGGGCAAAUGUUUUGAGACUGCCCAUGGAGGUGAGGCCUGUGGUCGCCAUGGAGUCCACCAGGUGAGGCUGGAAGAGCCUGGGAGAGAGACGUGAUAGGGAGUAGCUGCGCCAGGCCUGGCACUGCCCUUCACUCUGCCCAAGGUCUCUUCCAUCUUCACGGGCCCUGGAGGGCAGACUAUGGUCAUUGGCCAAACAGCAUUCUCAUGUCCGUUGACAAAGGGACUUCCUCCUUUACAGGGGCUAAGUGGUAGCGAGGAGGCUGGACAGUCCCUCAAGCAGUGGUGGAAAUGCAAAGAACUCGGGGCACUCAAGUUCUCCCUAACCACUCUGUCCCCAGGUCUUAGCCGCCAUCUUAGUUCAAUAAAUAUUUGUUGAAUGC